GGCUCACCUCUUCCUGUUAGCCAGCCUGCCUCCCUCUAAUCCUGACCCCCAUAAUUCACUUCUGAGGGGAGGAACACUAGAACUGCUUUCGCCAUCUAGACUUCGAGAUUAUGAGGAAAGGAAGAGAAGGGCCCAGAAUUUACUGAAUGCCACUCACAUGCCAGGACUGUGCUGGGCACUCUCAUGAGAUGAGUCUCAUUUUACUUCCUUGCAAGCCUUGUUUGCAGAUUUGAAAACCGAGGCUUCGAAAGUGAGUUAACCUGCCUGAAAUCACAUGGAGAAGAGGGAGUUGAGGAAGGAAAAGAAUCUCCUUUGGCUGGAGGCUGAGUGCUGUGGGUUUUUGACAGUCUUCUCAUGCUGUUGUUUCCCUGGGUGCCCCAGAGGAUGGAGAACAGGACUCUCAAGCAUGGAAGAAGCAGAGGUUUCCAAGCUGCUGCCCCAGCCUCCAAAGAUGAGGAUGAGGACAUCCAAGCCAUCAUAAUCUGCCAGAAGGGGCAGAGGUAGCAGGUGGUGAAGGCUGCAUGGGCCCCCAUCUGGGAGAGGCAGAAGGCAGAGGAGCAAAGGGGCAGCUGGGACCCUGGCAGGACAUGCAGCAUCUCCUAGUCCCCAAGAAGGAACUGGAGACCCCACCUCACCAGAGACAAAGCCAGGAGCAGCAGGGUUCCUGGGCCCUGGAGGAGGAGAGCUUGGUGAGCAGGAAGCCAGGAGGGAGGAAAAAAGAAACAGAGAAGUCCCCAGUCUCAGAGAAAUCCUCCAUGCUAGGGAAGGCAGCACUGGAUGAGAGACUGGUCUCAGAAAAAACCUCCAUUGCCAAGAAGGUGCUAGCCUUGGAGAAAACAUCUCUAUCUGAGAAGACAGUGGUAUCAGAGAAAAGACAGCUCAGAGAAGAAGCUGGUUCCAGUAAAGACAGGUGUCUCAGAGAAGACACUGGCCCCAGGAAAGGCAUCAGUGUCAGAGAAGGUAGUGGUGAGAGAGCAAAGGUCCAUCUCAGAGAAGUCAGUUCUAGAAAAGACAAGCGUCUCAGAAAACACACCAGGAUCAGAAAGGAGACUGGUGUCGGAGAAAGCAUCGAUCUUCGAGAGGUCACCAGUCCUAAAGAGGAGCCUGACCAGACACCAAGCUGGCUCCAAAGAAGACUGCAGCCUCAGAGCAGCCCAGGCCCAGGAGCAGGCGGCCUCUCGGAGGAGGCCAAGCCACCACUGAGAGGCAGACAGAAAGGGCCCUCCCUUGGAAGAAACUGCCAUCCUCUGCAGAGCAGGGCAUGUUGGGCCCUCUGACUGUAGUCUCCUGCCUCUCACUAGUCACACUGCAGCUCCUGGGAUGAGACAUGGGGUCUGUGGCUGCCUGAGCCCACUGGGCUCUAGACCUCUUUGUGAUGCUCCCCCUGCCCCGUCCAGGUAAAAAACCCCAGCAAGGAGGAAGAGGCAGACCCCCUCAUCCACUCAAUGCACCUGCGGUAGCUGCCUCAAAUACUCCAGCCCAGAACCACCUCCUUUCAGUGCCAGCAUGAGGCUCCCGGCCAGCACAGUGAAGUUGGGAGAGACACUGGCGGGAUACACACAGCUAUACAGGAUGGUGGCUGGCAGGCUUGUGGCUUCAGCUGGCCCUGCUGUGGAUCUGCUAGUAGUGUGGAGGCCCACGUGGAGGAAGAUAAGCCUGGCUGGGGAAUCAAGGCCACAGGACUCAGAGGCCACCAAGGACCAUGGAGGAGAUGGGGUACUGAAUGGUGUGGAGCAAAUGGAAGUCCCAUGUGCAGAGGAUUCUUUCAAGGACAGGAGCUGUAGAUGCAACAUAGUUCCCAAGGCAGCAGUAUUGAGGGAAGAAUUUGAGGACUGGGAAGGCAGGACAUGUGGUUGAGUGACUGGAGAAGGGGGCAGAUAAUGGCAAGACUUCAUUCUUUGUCCACAAACAGAAGAGUGUGGAUCACAAGUAGGCAAGAUCUGCAGGUUUCAGGGGGCUCAUGGGGGAGGGGAAGGCCUGGUUCAGAGGACCAUUUCUCCUUCAGAGCCAGGCAGGACCUGGGCUGUGAGGAUUCAGACAGAUCAAGUGGAAGAGUCAGCUCAGCUGCCACCAGACUUGCUUUCCUCCUCUCUCAUUUUCAUUAUGUACUGAACCUAUAAUGUGCCAGCAACGAACACAAACAUGCACAUGCAUAGGCAUCCAUGUGCAAGCCAAUAGACUGCCUGGGUCCUGAACUAUGGAAUUAUAAUCUGGUAGCUUUAGCAGAUUGUGGUCUUACAUCCCAUGAUUUUAAAGCCAUUGGGAAUUGAUCUUUAUCGGUCCUCGCUACCCCCCUCAAACAGUUUCUUGUUUUAGGUUUUUGAAUGAAAACUCUGUAUC